AUUUUGAUAGGAACCCUGCCUGAUGCUUUUUUGUUUGUUUCAGGCAGGGUCUUCAUAUCGAGA
ensembl:miRNA Mir5116 microRNA 5116